CGAUGAAGCCCUUCGGGGUGUAAAGCUCUUUCGUCAGGGAAGAUAGUGACGGUACCUGGAGAAGCAGCUGCGGCUAACUACGUGCCAGCAGCCGCGGUAAUACGUAGGCAGCAAGCGUUGUUCGGAGUUACUGGGCGUAAAGGGCGCGUAGGCGGUUCGUACAGUCAGACGUGAAAUUCCCGGGCUCAACCUGGGGGCUGCGUUUGAUACGUACGGGCUUGAGUUCGGAAGAGGGUCGUGGAAUUCCCAGUGUAGAGGUGAAAUUCGUAGAUAUUGGGAAGAACACCGGUGGCGAAGGCGGCGACCUGGUCCGAUACUGACGCUGAGGCGCGAAAGCGUGGGUAGCAAACAGGAUUAGAUACCCUGGUAGUCCACGCCCUAAACGAUGCAUAUUUGGUGUGGGCAGUUCAUUCUGUCCGUGCCGGAGCUAACGCGUUAAAUAUGCCGCCUGGGGAGUACAGUCGCAAGGCUGAAACUCAAAGGAAUUGACGGGGGCCCGCACAAGCGGUGGAGCAUGUGGUUCAAUUCGACGCAACGCGCAGAACCUUACCAGGACUUGACAUGGGAGUGCCGCGCGCAGAGAUGCGCGUUUCCGCGAGGACACUCCGCACAGGUGCUGCAUGGCUGUCGUCAGCUCGUGUCGUAAGAUGUUGGGUUAAGUCCCGCAACGAGCGCAACCCUCGCCUUCAGUUGCCAUCAGGUUUGGCUGGGCACUCUGAAGGAACUGCCGGUGACAAGCCGGAGGAAGGUGGGGAUGACGUCAAGUCCUCAUGGCCUUUAUGUCCAGGGCUACACACGUGCUACAAUGGACGGUACAAAGCGCAGCAAACCCGCGAGGGGGAGCCAAUCGCAAAAAACCGUUCUCAGUUCGGAUUGCAGGCUGCAACUCGCCUGCAUGAAGCUGGAAUCGCUAGUAAUGGCAGAUCAGCACGCUCCCGUGUUUGCGUUCCCGGGCCUUGUACACACCGC
rnacentral:rRNA from 1 species